UUUGUUCUUCUCUUGCAAAAAGUGUAGCUAAAAAAUUGCUAAGACCACGUUGUUAAAGAUCAUAAUAACAUUGCAUUGCAUGUUCAAACUUUAAGAUUUCUUUUUUUGUUUUAUUCGUAAUCUUGUGAGGGGCAGGGUGUUACGAGGAUUACGAAGGGGGUGUUAACACACUUCUCAUUCAAUUUUGAUUUCGAGUCGGGCCGUGACUGCGCCGGGCCAAAAAAUGCGUAUCUUGCAGUCUUUUCCAGUUC
rnacentral:lncRNA from 1 species